rnacentral:rRNA from 1 species
GUUAAUCGGAAUUACUGGGCGUAAAGCGCACGCAGGCGGUCUGUCAAGUCGGAUGUGAAAUCCCCGGGCUUAACCUGGGAACUGCAUUCGAAACUGGCAGGCUAGAGUCUUGUAGAGGGGGGUAGAAUUCCAGGUGUAGCGGUGAAAUGCGUAGAGAUCUGGAGGAAUACCGGUGGCGAAGGCGGCCCCCUGGACAAAGACUGACGCUCAGGUGCGAAAGCGUGGGGAGCAAACAGGAUUAGAUACCCUGGUAGUCCACGCCGUAAACGAUGUCGACUUGGAGGUUGUUCCCUUGAGGAGUGGCUUCCGGAGCUAACGCGUUAAGUCGACCGCCUGGGGAGUACGGCCGCAA